UCUUUCUUUUUCUUCUCUUUUUCUUUCCAUUAAUUUUGUUCCCCACUUCAUUUUACCACUAAAUCUACUUUUUGACUUUCACCACCAUUUUCCCCACCACUUUCACCACCAUUUUCUCCACUACUCAAUUAUGCAACAACACAUAUUGUUCCAGCCAUCAAGUCUUUUCUUCCCUCACCAAAACGUGUAGAAGAAGUUGAGAAAGGGAGAGAGAGUUUCCUCCAACUCCAAAUUGUAACUUGAAGAGGUCAAGGGCGAGAUUGAUAAUCUGUUGAGGAGCUUUUGUAUCACAGAAAAUUACUAUCAGGUUGAGCAGCUGCCGAUGGUGAUGAAGUGACGAGCGGGACUCUUUUGUUUUAUUAUGUAUUAAUGAACUCUAGGGUUACAUGUCUUCAUACAUGUAAUCAGAACCUUAUUCCGCUGCGUACUCAGAAGUUUUAUGUUAUUUUGGAUAAGUCGGAGUUAUCCGAAUUUACUAGUUA